AGCAUAUCAAUAAGCGGAGGAAAAGAAACCAACAGGGAUUGCCCUAGUAACGGCGAGUGAAGCGGCAACAGCUCAAAUUUGAAAUCUGGCCUCGGCCCGAGUUGUAAUUUGCAGAGGAAGCUUUAGGCGCGGCACCUUCUGAGUCCCCUGGAACGGGGCGCCAUAGAGGGUGAGAGCCCCGUAUAGUUGGAUGCCUAGCCUGUGUAAAGCUCCUUCGACGAGUCGAGUAGUUUGGGAAUGCUGCUCAAAAUGGGAGGUAAAUUUCUUCUAAAGCUAAAUACCGGCCAGAGACCGAUAGCGCACAAGUAGAGUGAUCGAAAGAUGAAAAGCACUUUGAAAAGAGGGUUAAAUAGCACGUGAAAUUGUUGAAAGGGAAGCGCUUGUGACCAGACUUGCGCCGGGCUGAUCAUCCGGUGUUCUCACCGGUGCACUCUGCCCGGCUCAGGCCAGCAUCGGUUCUCGCGGGGGGAUAAAGGCCCAGGGAACGUAGCUCCUCCGGGAGUGUUAUAGCCCUGGGUGUAAUGCCCUCGCGGGGACCGAGGUUCGCGCAUCUGCAAGGAUGCUGGCGUAAUGGUCACCAGCGACCCGUCUUGAAACACGGACCAAGGAGUCAAGGUUUUGCGCGAGUGUUUGGGUGUAAAACCCGCACGCGUAAUGAAAGUGAACGUAGGUGAGAGCUUCGGCGCAUCAUCGACCGAUCCUGAUGUUUUCGGAUGGAUUUGAGUAGGAGCGUUAAGCCUUGGACCCGAAAGAUGGUGAACUAUGCUUGGAUAGGGUGAAGCCAGAGGAAACUCUGGUGGAGGCUCGCAGCGGUUCUGACGUGCAAAUCGAUCGUCAAAUCUGAGCAUGGGGGCGAAAGACUAAUCGAACCAUCUAGUAGCUGGUUACCGCCGAAGU
rnacentral:rRNA from 1 species